UCCGUUAUGGUGUAGUGGCUAACAUUAUCGCCUCUCAUACUGCAAUUGAGUGGAGAAGCAUUCUAGCGCGAUAGCCCAGGGUUCGAUUCCCUGUAACGGAA